UUCCAGGUGGUGCAGUGGUAAAGAAUCUGUCUGCAGUGCAGGAGACCCAGGUUCGAUCCCUGGAUUGGAAA
rnacentral:tRNA from 1 species